rnacentral:misc_RNA from 1 species
CAGAGAUCGUGCCCUUCGGGGUAGACCUCCCACCCUGUGUUAUUUACCUUUGUUGCUUUGGCGGGCUGCCCCGCGGGGCCCCCGGCGUGCCCGGGAAGGCCCGCCAGAGAACCACUCACCCUGUGUUUAGUGUCGUCCGAGUAUUAUAUAAUAAGUUA